CCUUCUUCUACUUACUAGAGCAAAGAUGAAAGUUGUAGUGGUAGAGAGUGAUACCAUUAAACCAUUGUCCCCAACACCACACCAUCUUCGUAAUCUCCAUUUCUUGACCAAAUUGCCACACCAGUUUUCAUGCCUAUGAUCCUUUUUUACCCAAGUGAUAACAAUUCCAUCAAUGCCAACAGAUUGAACAGGCUCAAGAAAUCCGUGUCUGAAACCUUGACAAACUUUUACCCACUAGCCGGUAGGGUUAAAGACAACUCCUUUAUAAACUGUAACGAUGAGGGUGUCCACUAUUUUGAAGCCCAAGCCAAGUGCCAAAUUUCCCAAGUUAUUCAGCAACCUGAACCAGCCCAACUCAAUAAACUACUCCCAUAUGAGCUAGAUAAUGUAGGAGAGUUAGUUUUGGCAAUUCAAGUCAAUGUUUUUGACUGUGGUGGAAUAGCUAUUGGAGUUUGCAUUUCCCACAAGGUUGCUGAUGCAUUAUCUCUAGCGAUGUUUCUUAAUAGUUGGGCUGCUACAGCUCGUGGUGUUAGCAAUACAAUCUGUCCACGAUUUGAUUUGGCUACCCUCUUUCCUCCUAGAAACAUUUCUGGGUUUAAACCAAGCACUGGAAUCAUGGACAAGAUUGUGACAAAGAGGUUUGUGUUCAACGCCUCCAUGAUUGCAGCUCUUAAAGCUAAAUACAUUGACAAUGCGAGCGUGGAGUGCAAAAGGUGCCCCACACGUAUUGAGGCCUUAUCGGCUUUCAUAUGGAGCCGAUUUGUGGCCGCUACCACUCAAGGGAAACUGGACCCAGAGAGGUUGUACACAGUGCUUCAUGCAGUCAAUCUACGCACAAGAAUGGACCCUCCAUUGUCAGAAUGUUACUUCGGAAAUAUUAGCCGAUUUUCCAUAGCCACACCUUGCAUGGACUCGAAAGGGGAGUGUCAUGGCCUCGUGAACCAAAUGAGAGAUGCGAUUAAGACAAUAGAUGGGGAGUAUGUGAAAAAACUACAGGAAGGCAAUGGGCACUUGAAUUUUAUGAAAGAGCGUGCUGAAAAAAUUACAAAAGGAGAUGUGCUUUCAUUUAGCUUUACUAGUCUGUGCAGGUUUCCUCUAUAUGAAACUAAUUUUGGGUGGGGAAAGCCUUUGUGGAUUGGUUCUUGCAGCCUGACCUUCAAAAAUUUAGUUGUUUUCAUGAAUACCGCAUCGGGUAAUGGAAUAGAAGCAUGGGUUAAUUUAAAAGAGGCCGACAUGGCUACCUUUGAAGGUGAUGAAGAGUUACUUGCCUUUGCUACACCAACUCGAUACUAAAAGGAUAGAAUUUGGCUCCAAAUUGUUUGAAGGAUGAUACUUCACUCCAAUCUAUUAAAGGGUGAUUUAUAUGACCAUUCACAUAUUUUUAAUACAUAACCUAUCUUGAUAAUUGUAUAUCUAGUGUGGCUAUAGUCCGUACCAAAUGUGACGAUUUGUUUGGAAAUUUAUUUUUCCCCAAAGUGUGGUUCUAAUGUACAAAUGCUUCCUCUCUCU